GAUGAACGCUGGCGGCGUGCCUAAUACAUGCAAGUCGAGCGAACAGACGAGGAGCUUGUGCCUCUGACGUUAGCGGCGGACGGGUGAGUCACACGUGGAUCAUCUACCUAUCAGACGGGGAAAACUUCGGGAAACCGGCGAUAAUACCGGAUAAUAUACUGAACCGCAUGGUUCGAUAGUGAAAGUCGGCUUUGGUGGAACGUCUCGCUGGAUACGCGCCGCAUUAGCUAGUUGGUAAGGUAAAGGGUUACGAAGGCAACGAUGCGUAGCCGAGUUGAGGGGGGGGUCGGCCACACUGGAACUUGGACACGGACCAGACGCCUGCGAGACGCAGCAGUAGGCAAUCUUCCGCAAUAGUCGAGAACUUUGCAGAACGACGGCACGUGAGUGAUGAAAGUCUUCGGAUCGUGAAACUCUGUUAUGGGUGAAAAACAAAUUUGUAAGGAACUAUACCCUGAGUGACGGUACCGAAUCAGAAAGCCACGGCUAACUACGUG
rnacentral:rRNA from 1 species